CACGUCGCAAUCGGUUGGCUUCACUCAUAAGCCACCGUGCCUCCAACUGUCGGUAUAGCCCCGCCGAAUGCUGCUGUUAAACCCAGCAGUGUCAUAUGGAGUCCCCCGCCCUGUUUAGCUAAACACUCAUGGGUUGCAGAGGGGCUAGCGUCUGAUUAGCUAGUUGGUUGGGGUAACGGCUCACCAAGGCGAUGAUCACUAGGGGUUCUGAGAGGAUUGGCCCCCACAUGGGUACUGAGAUACGGACCCAACUCCUACGGGAGGCAGCAGUAGGGAAUAUUGGGCACUGGAGGCAACUCUGACCCAGCCAUCCCGCGUGCAGGAUGAAGGCGCUCAGCGUUGUAAACUGCUUUUACUCAUGAAGAACUAUGGUCCUGCGGGAUUAUUACACGGUAAUGGGGGAAUAAGCACCGGUUAACUCCGUGCCAGCAGCCGCGGUAAU
rnacentral:rRNA from 1 species